GACGAACGCUGGCGGCGUGCCUAAUACAUGCAAGUCGAGCGCAGGAAGCCGUCUGAACCCUUCGGGGGGACGACGGUGGAAUGAGCGGCGGACGGGUGAGUAACACGUAAAGAACCUGCCCAUAGGUCUGGGAUAACCACGAGAAAUCGGGGCUAAUACCGGAUGUGUCAUCGGACCGCAUGGUCCGCUGAUGAAAGGACCUUCGGCGUCGCCCAUGGAUGGCUUUGCGGUGCAUUAGCUAGUUGGUGGGGUAACGGCCCACCAAGGCGACGAUGCAUAGCCGACCUGAGAGGGUGAUCGGCCACACUGGGACUGAGACACGGCCCAGACUCCUACGGGAGGCAGCAGUAGGGAAUCUUCCACAAUGGACGAAAGUCUGAUGGAACAACGCCGCGUGAACGAUGAAGGCUUUCGGGUCGUAAAGUUCUGUUGUAAGGGAAGAACAAGUGCCGCAGGCAAUGGCGGCACCUUGACGGUACCUUGCGAGAAAGCCACGGCUAACUACGUGCCAGCCGCCGCAGUAA
rnacentral:rRNA from 1 species